AUUGAACGCUGGCGGCAGGCCUAACACAUGCAAGUCGAGCGGAUGAAGGGAGCUUGCUCCUGGAUUCAGCGGCGGACGGGUGAGUAAUGCCUAGGAAUCUGCCUAGUAGUGGGGGAUAACGUCCGGAGACGGGCGCUAAUACCGCAUACGUCCUGAGGGAGAAAGUGGGGGAUCUUCGGACCUCACGCUAUCAGAUGAGCCUAGGUCGGAUUAGCUAGUUGGUGGGGUAAAGGCCUACCAAGGCGACGAUCCGUAACUGGUCUGAGAGGAUGAUCAGUCACACUGGAACUGAGACACGGUCCAGACUCCUACGGGAGGCAGCAGUGGGGAAUAUUGGACAAUGGGCGAAAGCCUGAUCCAGCCAUGCCGCGUGUGUGAAGAAGGUCUUCGGAUUGUAAAGCACUUUAAGUUGGGAGGAAGGGCAGUAAGUUAAUACCUUGCUGUUUUGACGUUACCAACAGAAUAAGCACCGGCUAACUUCGUG
rnacentral:rRNA from 1 species